CCCCGCCCCCCUCCCCCGCGGUAAUUCCGCCCGCGACGGCGCCCCCCAGCCUCGCGACGGCGCCACCCCCUCCCCCGCGGUUGUACGGCCAGGCCGCUCGCAAGAUCGCCAGACUUUCCGCCGCCUCCUCCCUCACGAUACGCCCCCCUUGCGGCAGCGCCACCCCGCGACCCCGCCGUGGCACCUGCCUCCUCGCCCCUCUGCGGCUCCUCCACCGGUGCCCCACUCGGCUGCGCGCGCCUUGAGUAUGCCGGCGGCCAAGGAUGGGUCUUGGGGCGGCCUCUUCCGCGCCCGCUUGACCCCACCCGCUUCCUCGCUGCCUGUCAUGGGCGCAUCGGAGCCGGCAGCGGGAAGUGCUGGAGCUGGCCGCGAGCGGGGUGGCGCUAGCUCCAGUCGCCGUUGCACCAUCCGAUUCGAGCCAGGCGGAGCUCGAGUAGCGCGUGGGAUGGGAGUGGGUCUACUGGAAGGUCCCCAUCCCCAUCCAUGGCAGCCGGAGGCGGGGAGAGCAGGGGCGGACGACGAGUGGAGGCAUCGUUGAAGGGGGCGGGGCGCCGGAGGUGUGGAAGGCAGGGGAGAGCUGGUAGUGGCGACUCAGGGUAGUGCUCGUCGAUUUGUCGUCGCCCAUGUUCCCAAUCCUUAUCCACUUGUGGUCCCUCCCUCCUCUCUCUCGCUCUCGCGGAUCCAGCAGGCGAAACACGAGGCGGCGGCGCGGUCUAGCGAAGGAAGGUAAUGGCGGCGGCGGCACUGCCGGCAGGGGAAGGUACGGCGGCGCGGAACAUGCGGAGAUCCUGAUGGCGCGGAGCCCGGCGAAGGCGGCGGCGGUGCGGCCUCGCCUGGGAGGGAUUCCCAAUCCCUUGCCCGCUCUCCGUCUGCUUGUCGCCUCCAAGAUCCAGUUGCCCGCAAGCUUUGCGUUCUUCCUUGUCAUGGCAGAGGCGCAAGGAGAACAAGGAUGUACGAGGCAAAUGCGACGGCGACAGAGAGCACAGCGAAGACGUCAUCAACGUCAAAGUCGUUGGUGCCAAUUGAUCAACGUGGUGAUCUGCAAUUAGGGCAAGAACAUUAGAAUUUUGUCUGAAAUUCUUGCAUAAGUCUGCAUGGAUGCUAACUAAACCUUCCCCAUGAGCUCUCUGACAGUCUGACUGUGAGACCCCUCUUCUCAUUCUUCUCCAUGCCUGUUAAUUUGUUAGAAGCAAAAAAUUGGUUGUUUUGAGAUGCAGAUGACUUCUUGUUUUGGUUAUAGAAAGCAGUCCAUGAGCUCUCUGAUAGUCUGACUGUGAGACCCCUCUUCUCAUUCUCCUCCAUACCUGUUAAUUUGUUAGAAGCAAAAAAUUGGUUGUUUUCAGAUGACUUCUUGUUUUGGUUAUAGAAAGCAGAUUACUCUAGAGUGUUUUUUUCUAAUUAAUAAGAUCUUUGUGGUUACCAAUGGAUUUCUUUUCUGUUUAGAUGAAGAUCACUAGGCCCAUUGCUCCGUGCAAGGUAUAGAUGGCAUACAUACAGGUUUGUGAAGCCCGUGAGGAAUUGCCAUAUAUGGUCUGAUAAUUGUCAUAAUUGAGGGUCUGAACCAACAACCAACAGGUCUGUAUAGAUGUUAUCUGAAUUCUUGGUAAAUUAGCGGUUUACUAAUGCUAUGGCCCAACCAGAAGUCCAGAACUUAGAUUUUUCAAACAUUAUUGUCAGCAAUGAUUUCAGAGGAUGUAAUCAGUAGACUGUCUAACUGCUAUCAUCAAUGAUUAUAUUGGAGGAAUAUAAUGAUGAGAUCGCGAAUUAAACUCUGAAUUUCGGUGGGGAAGGGUGACGGCAACAAGGCAUCGCAAGUGGCAGACUGCAAGGUGCGUAAGCUAUCAAAAUUUCUUUUACUUUCAGUUAAAAUCAUGCUGCGUCAGCAACAUCAUGUAUCAUGUAAAAUGAAUAGCAGACUCACCUACCUCACAAGGAAAUAUUUGUUAAUCACUCCAGUCAAUAUUUAAUUAUAAAAAAUAGAUGAUGCAUGCCUUGCAAGAAUAUUUUAAUCACUCCAGCAAAUUUUAACUUCCAAUUGUGGCUGAGAAAACAGAGUGCAAAACUUCUGCACUUCUGCUAUCAGUAUUGCACUAUAGCUAGCACAUAGUUCCUUUUGGAUUUAUGGAAGUCCUGUUAUUUAUAAUAUGCCAACUAUAAUGGUGACAUUCCCACACCUCUUUGUGUUGACAUGCUACCUACAUAUUUGAUGAAAUGCUUCAAUUAUUUACCUGGUGCUCAACGUUGACUCUGGUCUCUCUAUGCUACCAUGGGUGAUAAGUUUGCAGUUUUGUUUAAAAAAUACAUGGCACAUUUGACUCUUGAAGGUGAUUAGAAAUAUAUACAAAAGCGAAUUGAAUGGAGAACAGUAAUGUUUUCCCUUUUCCAAGUAUUAGAUUAGAAUUUACACUUGUUUCUUCUCGACCUAACACUGGGUGAACUAUAAUUUUCCACAUUCAAUGCAUGAAAACAUGUAAAAUUCAUCACAAUUGUUCUCCAAAAAUUUCAAGAAUUUAUUGCAGAACGGUAAAAGAACUGAAACUUCUGCGCAUUUGGAUUGGAAAGGCACUCAUGGUUACUUUUUUGUACAUUAUUUUUUUCGACAAACUUUCUUGUACAUUUUAUUACUCUUGUAUAUUUUUGCAACCAAUUAUCUCAAUACCAGUUGUUAACAAUAAAUAAAUUUGUAAAGGAAUUCCUAUUAGUGUACACUCUUUGUAUAUUGCAGAACUUCAUUUUACAACUCACUUUGGAUGUAUUACAUAGUAUUAUUUACAGAUCUAAACCUUUGCAUAUAAAAGCUACACUUCCUUCUUUA